UGCAGCUAACGGUGCUAGGCCCAGGGGAGGGCUGGUGACACAUGGUGCUCCUCAAGGCCUUAGGUCUAGAGAGACCAAAACGCUUCUUGGCCAGCUGCAAUCCUCACAUCCUCCUUCCAGUUUUCUCUGUUGAACAAGGAAAAACACAGGAGUGCUGUCUUUGCUGUACGGUAAAGAAAAUCUUCAGGAGAUUUGGAGAUCUGAUAGGGGGUUUGGCUCCACCUUCAGGAAGCAGAAGGCAAAGAGACAACACGAUUUUAAAUUUCAGACAUACUUUCUGCCAAAAGUAAGCCUACAACACCCUUGUUGAGACAUUGAUUCCUCCCCAGUGUGUCUUUGCUUCAUACAGAUAAAAGAUUCCCUAACCUGAUGCCGUGCUAUUUCUAUGGUUUUGAUUCAGCUCUGAAGAGUCCAACUCCUCGUGGAGCUUCUUGAGAACUUGUGGAAGGAUGUCCCAGACCAGCCAACAGAUCAACCAACAGCUGAUGUGUGGACAAAGAAAAGCAGCUUUGAGAGAUUAGAAAGGCUCUCUGAAUAACACAGAUGAAUUGAGAGGAAGCAGGCUGGAGGAGUCUUGAUCAAAGUUCAGCCCAGCAAAAUACCUGAGUAAGACUUUUCUCCCCAGAUUCAGGCAGUAAGUGCAGAAGAAGCAAACUAACCAAUCUCUCAUAUUUCACCUCUUGGUUGAGGUUGAAAAAGUUUGAACCUGGAAAGUAGUAGCUGGUUAAAAAACAUUAUUUAAAUGAAUUAAAAUGCAUUCUUUUAAAGAAGCUACAUAGUGACCUUCUAUAAUGACGAAAAUGACAAAGCAGUUAGAGAUGAGACUACCCUCAGUUUGAAAGACUUUAUCUCAUGUAUCAGUGAAGUAAAAGGCAAUCACACAAUUGGUGACGGUCCUGUAGGCAAUGGAAGUGUAUGGCUGCUAGUGAAACCAUGCCCUUUCCCCAAUGGGGCACUUAAGCCCCCAACCCAACGUUACUGCAUUCAUCAUCAUUUUCUAGAGGAAACUGCACAGCAAGCAGCAGGGAUGGCUCUCAAUGCAGAAAUGGACUAAACACCUAAUGAAUCUAAAAAUAAUAAAAAAAAAACACAACUCUGAGAAGGGAUGCGAGGAGACUGAAUAGACAUCGCUGUGUAAGCAAAUAUAACUGAAUAUACUCCAGAGGAACAAAGGAAACAAUUCUUGAUGGGGUGACAACAGAUGUUCUCCAAAAAAAUUCUAACGGAGCAUUUCAAACACAAAGACUUUCCUGUGGAGCUGAGAAGUUUUACUGGCAGACACACUGGUAAUCCAUCUUUGGAAACAUAAUAAACCCUAACAUUUAAGGUGCUAUCACGUCCUGAAGGCAGAAGUGAUAUCUUCAUGUAGUAAGCGGUGGGUGGUGGUAGAGAGGGAAACAGUUAAGAUAACAACAUGCUGUCACAAGAAGUUGUUGUAGCAUGGUCUUGAUUUAAAUGGCUGGAGGGAUAACUAGUCAGAGAACUUCUCAAAUAGCCUCUUGAAAAUGUGCUCUCUACCCAGGUGAAAGAUAUGCAGGUUGGUGUCAUAGAACAAACACAAUCCACAGCAAUUGAAGAAUUUUGUGAGCACACUUAAGUGCAGCCACUUGUACUGUGUGAGUGAAGGCAGUGUGUCCAAAGCCAAAUGUUCCUAUGCCCUUCCACAUCAUGGUUAAGCAUAUUGCAGAAAAUGUAGAUUAGGGAGGAAAAAAAAGUCCUUUUUGCAAUGACUGAACUGCCCUGUUACUCUGGAAAGAUCUUGAUUCAAUUAUUUAGUUCCUGGCUUGCAGCAUCUUCACUUUGUAUAGGCUUUCAAAUGUGAGGCACUUCAAAUUCUUUUUUUAAACUCUUUUUUUUUUUUUUAUGCCUAAGAUACAGAAUAAUACUUCUGUCUUUUUGGGUUCUUGAAAGAUCUCCUGAGCAUCUGCAAGGCAAACAUAUCAUUUUUCUGGAAACAAGGCA